rnacentral:rRNA from 1 species
UACGUAGGGUGCAAGCGUUACUCGGAAUUACUGGGCGUAAAGCGUGCGCAGGCGGUUAUGCAAGACAGAUGUGAAAUCCCCGGGCUUAACCUGGGAACCGCAUUUGUGACUGCAUAGCUGGAGUACGGCAGAGGGGGAUGGAAUUCCGCGUGUAGCAGUGAAAUGCGUAGAUAUGGGGAGGAACACCGGUGGCGAAGGCGGCCAUCUGGACGGAUACUGACGCUGAGACGCGAAAGCGUGGGUAGCAAACAGG